UACGGGAGGCAGCAGUGGGGAAUUUUGGACAAUGGGGGCAACCCUGAUCCAGCAAUGCCGCGUGAGUGAAGAAGGCCUUCGGGUUGUAAAGCUCUUUUGUCAGGGAAGAAACAGCAGCUCUAACACAGUCUGCGAAUGACGGUACCUGAAGAAUAAGCACCGGCUAACUACGUGCCAGCAGCCGCGGUAAUACGUAGGGUGCGAGCGUUAAUCGGAAUUACUGGGCGUAAAGCGUGCGCAGGCGGUUAUACAAGACAGGCGUGAAAUCCCCGGGCUUAACCUGGGAAUGGCGUCUGUGACUGUAUAGCUAGAGUGUGUCAGAGGGGGGUGGAAUUCCACGUGUAGCAGUGAAAUGCGUAGAUAUGUGGAGGAACACCAAUGGCGAAGGCAGCCCCCUGGGAUAACACUGACGCUCAUGCACGAAAGCGUGGGGAGCAAACAGGAUUAGAUACCCUGGUAGUCCACGCCCUAAACGAUGCUGACUAGUUGUUGGGAAUUUACAUUCUCAGUAACGUAGCUAACGCGUGAAGUCAGCCGCCUGGGGAGUACGGUCGCAAGAUUAAAACUCAAAGGAAUUGACGGGGA
rnacentral:rRNA from 1 species